UGAGGAAUAUUGGUCAAUGGCCGUAAGGCUGAACCAGCCAAGUAGCGUGAGGGAAGACUGCCCUAUGGGUUGUAAACCUCUUUUAUGCGGGGAUAAAGGUGUCCACGUGUGGAUGUUUGCAGGUACCGCAUGAAUAAGGACCGGCUAAUUCCGUGCCAGCAGCCGCGGUAAUACGGAAGGUCCGGGCGUUAUCCGGAUUUAUUGGGUUUAAAGGGAGCGUAGGCCGGUCUUUAAGCGUGCCGUGAAAUUUUGUGGCUCAACCAUGAGAGUGCGGCGCGAACUGGAGACCUUGAGUGCGCGGAAGGCAGGCGGAAUUCGUGGUGUAGCGGUGAAAUGCUUAGAUAUCACGAAGAACCCCGAUUGCGAAGGCAGCCUGCCGCAGCGUUACUGACGCUGAAGC
rnacentral:rRNA from 1 species